rnacentral:lncRNA from 1 species
UUUUUUUACUUAUUGCAAAUCUUGGGCUGAACUUUUUCUGCUUUUUACAGUAUGAUAACUUCAAGCUUAUCCACAGUGCCUCGCAGAUAUCAAUUCUGACCCAACAGCAUCCUGCUGAAUUGCAUGAGGCCCUGCAAAGUAGCUUUUAUGUUUUAAGAAAUGUCACGGCCAAGAGGAUGAGACUCAGCUGUACUUAGAGACCUCAAACUCAAAAUUAGAUGCUAAAAUAAGCUUUGAAAUAUUUGAAUCCAAGACAGGAGAACUGUCACAGUGUAGGUUUUGCAAAGUAGCUAGUCUGAAAAGACUAAUACUUCUUUUCUGAUUUUUAUGACCUUCUAAAUGAAAAUCUCUUUCAAAAGUUUCACUACUUCUAUGAAAAUAUGAUUUGUCUGUAGCUGAAUUCAUGUUUUAAUUUAGAAUAUAUC